rnacentral:rRNA from 1 species
UUCCCUCCUGGGAAGUCCUCGUGUUGCAAAAGUUAUAGCCGUUUUACUUUUUCAUAACACUUUUUUGCAAAACAUGUCAAAAUUUAUGUUUUUGAAUUUUCCUAACUAAUAGAUGUAGUAACAUAAAUACAUCUCGAAGGAUUUUAAUUUUUGAAGUUUUUAUCAUUUUCUUUUCUUUUUUUCAAAACUAAAAUGGCGAUACGAGGGGGGGGAGCAUAAUGGACGAAGGCGGGGGUAACAUGUCGGAUGCGAUCAUACCAGCACUAAAGCACCGGAUCCCAUCAGAACUCCGAAGUUAAGCGUGCUUGGGCGAGAGUAGUACUAGGAUGGG